GGAUUGCAGCCUGCAACUCGGCNGCAUGAAGCUGGAAUCGCUAGUAAUCGCGGAUCAGAAUGCCGCGGUGAAUACGUUCCCGGGUCUUGUACACACCGCCCGUCACACCAUGGGAGCCGGGAAUGCCCGAAGUCAGUGGCCCAACCGCAGGGAGGGAGCUGCCGAAGGCAGGCCUGGUGACUGGGGUGAAGUCGUAACAAGGUACC
rnacentral:rRNA from 1 species